rnacentral:lncRNA from 1 species
CAGCAUACAAGUAUCAGACACGCGGAGCGUGUAACCAUGGAAGAAGCAGGCCAAGAUUCAAUGACCUUUAUUGAGCCACAUGCAAGGUUAGCUGAACAGCAUGAAUUCAAGUUUUACCAAAUUGUAUUUAAAAGUUGAUAUCUUCAUCAUCCUGUACCUGAGCCUGGGGUCUCUGAAGCAUCCUCAUGUACCUCAACUUGAACUAGGGGCAUGUGUGAAGACUAGUAUACUGACUGUUUGUUAAACACUUAAUACAAGCUACACUCUCUUGGUGAUGGACACUGCCCAUUUACUGGGACUAGAGGAGAUGACCACCCAUUUUGAUCUCUGGAUAAAGAAGAGGAAGAAUGUAUUGAAUGAAAGCAAAGUGUCACUUGAAUGUCGAGUCCUGAGAGGGAGUGUGUUUUACUUGGAUCAGUGAUUUUAAUAUCUAAGAAAUUUCUUCCACUAAGGAAACAACUGACCUGAUGUGAUGACAGUCACUUAAGGAAACAUUAGCUCGGAUCCUUCAAAUACUAGUUUGGAAUUGUAAACAGCUAGUUUCACCUUUUUUGGAAACUGUUUGGAACUGAUGUGCCAGGCUACACAGUAUUCAAUGGCUUUGCCCCUCUAAUGGUCAUGCUUUGAAUAAGCACAAAUUAAAAAAAAUUGGACAUAUAUGAGACAGUUUGGGUAAGAAUUAAAAAAAAAUCACAAAAAAUUCUGUGAUUAAGAUUAAUUAAUAGACAAGUUCAUUCACUGAACCUGAAGCUCCAUGAUUUUGCUAGAUUUAACUGGGGAGCAAUCACUAACAGAAUUCCGUGUCACUCUGAAUAGCACUCGAACUUCAGGCAUUGGAUUCCAGGCCUUGGACACAGUAGGAAUCUGCUGUAUCAAUGAAGGAUGUGUCCAGUCAUGAUGGUCAUGUAUCUCAGGCUGGCCACUCUAUUUAACCAAGAAUGACUUUGACGUUCUGACUGACCUGCCUUCCCUUCCCUACUGCUAUUUACAAGUAUGAACUUGUUCUUAGAAAGCCACAAUUAGCAGUUAUACUUCAGAAUUAGUAAAGACUUCUACAUUCAUGUUA